rnacentral:rRNA from 1 species
GACGAACGCUGGCGACGUGCUUAACACAUGCAAGUCGAAUGAGAAUUCUUUUCAAAGAAGCUUCGGUGGAAAUGAGAAGAAGGAAAGUGGCGAACGGGUGAGUAACGCGUGAGCAACCUACCUUAUACAAAGGGAUAGCCUCGGGAAACCGGGAUUAAUACCAUAUGAGACUCCAAUAACGAGUGUAAAAGAAGUUAAAGAUUUAUCGGUAUAAGAUGGGCUCGCGUCUGAUUAGCUAGUUGGUGGGAUAAAAGCCCACCAAGUCGACGAUCAGUAGCCGGCUUGAGAAGAUGCACGGUCACAUUGGAAAUGAGACAAGGUCCAAACUCCUACGGGAGGAAGCAGUGGGGAAUAUUGCACAAUGGGGGAAACCCUGAUGCAGCGACGCCGCGUUAGCGAUGAAGGUUUUCGAAUCGUAAAGCUCUGUCCUUGGAGAAGAUAAUGACGGUAUCCAAGGAGGAAGCACCGGCUAAAUACGUGCCAGCCGCCGCCGUAACAC